rnacentral:rRNA from 1 species
AAGCAGACAGCACGCAAAUCUACUGGAGGCAAGGCCCCACGUAAACAAUUGGCAACCAAGGCUGCCAGAAAAUCUGCACCUGCUACCGGUGGUGUCAAGAAACCCCACAGAUACAGGCCAGGAACCGUUGCUUUGAGAGAGAUCAGACGUUACCAGAAGAGCACUGAACUGUUGAUCCGCAAAUUGCCCUUCCAACGCUUAGUGAGAGAAAUCGCCCAAGACUUCAAAACUGAUCUUCGAUUCCAGAGCUCUGCCGUCAUGGCCCUGCAAGAAGCCAGUGAGGCUUAUUUGGUCGGUCUGUUUGAAGAUACCAACUUGUGCGCUAUCCACGCCAAGCGUGUCACUAUUAUGCCCUAAGGAUA